CACGGAUCAGUAUCACAGACCAGUUUCAGUCCGCAGCAAGGGGUUUGGGACCCCUGAAAUAAAUAAUAGUUUUUUAAUGAAGUUUGCUCCGCUGCCUCCAGACCAGGGCUCUGUACUAGUAACACAGGCUGCUGUCUUCAAGCGCCAUCAGUAAGUCAGGCAUAAUGCUUCAAUGUGAGGAGUCUUCCAAAGUGAUUUACAGAUUAGUAGAAAAGAUAAACAUGGAACAUAUAUGGGUACAAGUUAAUGCAUUAUGCUUCAAUGUGAGGAGUCUUCUGAAGGGAUUUACAGAUUAGUAGAAGAGAAAAGCAUAGAACAUAUAAUGGAUACAAAUAUAUAUAGAUGGAAAACAUGUGCAAUACAAAGUAAGCUUUAAAAAGAUGAUCACAAUAUUAUCAUCGAUAAUCAGAUAUUUUAAAUUUGCCUUUGUAACUAAUGUGUCUUACUAUUUGAGGAGAACUGUAACAGGUAGAGAUUAGAAAGUUUUUUUUUUUUUUUUUCAGAAGGUAUAUCGGCAUCCACUGGGAAAAUUGUUGGCCUUUGUAGUAGAUAAUUCAUGU